rnacentral:tRNA from 1 species
CCGGGCGUGGCGGAAUUGGUAGACGCAAGGGACUUAAAAUCCCUCGGGCCCCUGCCCAUGCCGGUUCGAAUCCGGCCGCCCGGACCA